rnacentral:rRNA from 1 species
GGGGAAUAUUGCCACAAUGGGGGAAACCCUGAUGCAGCAACGCCGCGUGAGUGAUGAAGGCCUUCGGGUUGUAAAGCUCUGUCUUCAGGGACGAUAAUGACGGUACCUGAGGAGGAAGCCACGGCUAACUACGUGCCAGCAGCCGCGGUAAUACGUAGGUGGCAAGCGUUGUCCGGAUUUACUGGGCGUAAAGGGAGCGUAGGCGGAUACUUAAGUGGGAUGUGAAAUACCUGGGCUUAACUUGGGUGCUGCAUUCCAAACUGGGUGUCUAGAGUGUUGGAGAGGAAAGUGGAAUUCCUAGUGUAGCGGUGAAAUGCGUAGAGAUUAGGAAGAACACCAGUGGCGAAGGCGACUUUCUGGACAAUAACUGACGCUGAGGCUCGAAAGCGUGGGGAGCAAACAGGAUUAGAUACCCUGGUAGUCCACGCCGUAAACGAUGGGUACUAGGUGUAGGGGGUAUCGACUCCCUCUGUGCCGCCGUUAACACAAUAAGUACCCCGCCUGGGGUUA